rnacentral:lncRNA from 1 species
CAUAACCAUCCACACCCAACUAUUCCGUAAGGGUCCAAGGCCGCUCUUGUCCGAGAGCACGGCUAGUAUACCAGUUUGAUCAAACUCAGCGGAGAGGUGUGCACUUUUCCCGUAAGUCGUGUUACCCAUAUGCCCGGGCUUUGCAAGACCCACUAACACUGUCAAGGUGAGCGUGCAAGGAACACUAUGAAGCCUUCCAUAGGCCACGUCUAACCAGUUAGGGCCGCGAGGUUUCCUCGGCAGGUAGAUAUAGAGAACCCCC